CCCCUCUUGGGGUAGCACCUGGAGAGUUUCCAGUAUUCUACCAGUCUCAACUAAGGGAGGGAAAGUCAAGCAGAGGCCUACCCAUUCCAUUCCUAGUUUGGACAGUGGUUAGAAAGUGGAAGGCAAUCUGCUACAAGU